rnacentral:lncRNA from 1 species
UGAUUUUGUUUGUUUUAAUUGAUCACCAGUUAAGUCAUGAUACAUUUCAAAGCAAAAUAUUCUGUUCAAGGACAUUGUGCCAAACAUUAAAUCUACUUUUAAACAAGGCUUAUUUUGACUAUAUUACCAUUAUAUACAUACAAGUAUAAUUUUAAUUUCACUAGUAGCAAAAUUACUCAGUACAUUACAUUUCCUGAAAGAUGGCAAAAAACAGGACUUGAAGAUCUGUUCUGCCCUUCCACAUAUCCCCAAACCAGAAAAAUCACAGGUAUAGAAAGUACAAUCACAACUACAGGUAAACACAAUAAGGACCUCAGAGCAAGUUAAGACCUUAUCAGAGAUGACAAUCGCUUCCAGAAGUCUACAUUGCAGAUAGAUACACAGUUACAUUCCACUAAAGAAUUUUGGGAGUUCUCACAAUGCCUCUUAAUCCUCUUUUGGUAAUAAAAACUUCUAUGACAACAUGUAUCCUUCAUAAAAAUGACUUUGUAUUUUUGGAGCAUCUGUUGGAAGCUUAAUGCAGUCUAAAUUGCAGCCUACAAUAAGCUCAUCCAAACAGAGCGAGCAAGCAUUGCAUGAUUCAUCAAAAUCAGAACCACAGCUCAGCUGAGUCACUCUUUGCUCCCGGUCUCUGGGCCCCUGGUAGCUAGAGCUACUCUGCACCACGGACGGGCUCAAGGGGUCGGAAACAGUACAUUUCUUCUACAGCUUUUGCAGGUCACUCACCUGCAAGUUCUUGACAGAAAAUGUCAACUGACUCAUAAAGCACAGGCAACUGUACAAGACUGAUGUGAACUUAUUUACAAAGCAUUCAUUACACUGCAAUCACAAGACAAUUAAGGACACAGCUAAGGAGCAACAAGAUUUCUGUAUUUAUGCUACCCCUGAAAAAUUCCUGUGAGCAGCAGAGAACGCAAUGGGCAGUGACUGCACAAACAUACUGCUGCUGCUGGGGAAACUGCAGUCUGGGCUUUGGGAAGUGGAAUGGUGCACGUAACCCAGCGGUCCCAAAGGGCAGCUGAGACUUCAGUUACGCUCAAACUCUGCUUUGGUUUGUGCAAUAUAUUAUUAAUCCUGUGCAUGCAGCUUUGAGACGUAGUCUGCAUUCAGGAAGGAACCGUUACUCUGUGCUUGGCAAAACAACACUGGAGGAGAUUUCUAGAACUAGUAAGGAAGUGGAGGUAAACAAGGCAUUUUUCAUGAGCGCUAGUGACCCUCACAGCUGCAACCUUGCCACCAUCACAAGGAAAUGAACUUCAUCAGCACUGUUGUAGGUUUUCUAUUCUAUAUUUGGAAAUUUUAUACUACUUCUAUAUUUGCUGAAGGAAGCUACCCCCUGAUGAGCAACCUCUCUGAACUUUACCUAAGUGACAAUGCAGAGGAGCUUCUCCUACCAGGCUUGAUGUCCCCAGGCUUGGGGAACAGCUACCCACUAACAAUAUUGAGCUUAACCUCAUGAUUUAGUAUGAAUGUAGGUGCUUAUCUACUCCUUUUCCUUCUCUUCCCUGCUGUUAAGCACAAGGAAAUCUGACCACACUAGGAAACACUAAACAGGCAUGCCCAAGGUUAAAGACACCAACUGAUUUCCUCCAGUAUGGUCAGAACACAUCACUUCUCCUUUGGCAGGUUCUAGCCACACACACUCAACACCACUUCUUCGCAGAUCUCCAUUUUAAGUGUCAAGUUGCCUGGCUCUCCAGACCUAACAUCAAUAUGAUAUAAGUAACUUAGUUCAGAAAUAACUGCUGUAAAUCUGCUGUAUCAUUUUAUCAGCCCUGCUUUAUAGCAACUUCUGCAAAAAAGCCAAGCACUCAGUACUGCCACUUGUACAUAGCCAGUCAGUAGCCCUUCUGAAAGGGCUGAAAAAGCAGGCUACAAACUAGGUUCUUUCUACUAGUCUACACCUAGUUUUAGCAGAGGUAGGUAGGAAUAGGUGAAGAGAGAAUUAGAAAACAACGUUUGAGAUGUAGGCUAGAGUCCAGAUGUUCUUUACUCUUCCUUUAACCUAUGUUUCACUGGUUUUUUCUUUGCUUAACCAUGGUCAACCUACUCACUUAUGAACUGGAUCCUGGUAGGCUGCAAAGACAACAUGAUAUUAGUCAGUUGUCAUUAACAGGCAGAGGAACUACAAGCAUGGGCCAAAAGGCACCACGAUUUACUGCAAGAGCCAAGGAGGUGCUUCACACAGAACUUCAAGUGCCACAUAUGAGGUCUUGUGAACACAACAUCAAAUUAUUGGCAAUAUUUACCUCAAGCUUUCCAGUUAGCAGAAGCAGAUAUAAAGGCUAGCUCUCAGGGUAUGACUUCACUUCAGCAUUUCAAAAUUUAACUGUGCAAUAAGCAUGAAUGGAAAACAUACACUUUAAGCCCAGAAAGAAUUCAUGGUACCUAAUCAAGUCUCAGCUUAAUCAAUUUUUCUGUAGCCUAUUCUAAAAGCUUUUCAGCUUGUGGACAUUAAGAAUACAACUACAGUAACAUACAACUACAGUAACAUGUUUAAUAGUUUGAAUGCAGUCCUAUCUGAUACAGCAACCAAUCAACAACGAAGUACAGAGCAUAAGAUUGAAAAGCCCUACACUAUGUAGUGUAAGCCUUACACUAUGAAAACACCUUUCGUGGUUCUCAUGCUGCUUUAUCUGCUAACGAAAAAGAAAUACCCAUUUAUUAUGUUCAUUGCUUGAUUUUUUAAAGUUUGCUUGCAAGGUCUUACUAAAAACCCAAACUUUUUGCACAUUCUUGUACGCCACACUGCUAAAUGACAGUUACACAAAAACCAGAAUACUUCCACUGUCAAGACUCCAGGAUUUACCAAACUCAGCCUCUCGGAUUCUUAGCACCAAAAUUCAACUAUAUAGAAAGGAAGACAGUGGAAUUGGGUAGUUCCAUCACUGAGGACCACAGCUGAUUAAGCUCUAAGUCAAGGGGUCCUGUCACCCUGGCUGAAGUUUCAGUAAUUAUCGAAUGGCUCUUGGAAGAAUCCACAGCCAAACUUCAUGGUUUUCCAUAAUUUUAAAAAAAGUGGGAAUCAAUUUCAAGAGAUUUUGAGUUCCAGAUAAAACACUUGCACUCAUGUUUCCCUGCUCACUUAAUCACAUCUGAGGUUCUUCUCCACUGUUCAGGAAAGUUUUGCAAACAAGAGUAGAGAAUUAAAACCAAGAGAAAUAUAGACAUUCAGAAGAUGCUACAAACAUACAAAGCAGAGGAAGGAAUUUUUCUCCCAAUUUUCAGUUUUAAUUCUUUAAACACGUAUUUCAAGAAAAGAGCAACUGAAAAUGUGUCCCUCAAAAUUAAGUUGCCUAUACAUGCUUAAAGGAAUAUGGGCUUUCAAAGUAGUCCUUCCUUACUAAAAGCAGCUACCUCAGAAAUGCUUUAUCUCUCAGCUAGUAUAACAGUCAUUGGUCAUUUGCAUUCAUUCACCCCAGCACUAGUGAAAAACUGCCUUCUGAAUAGGGAUAAGAAAACAUGGCAAGUUUUGUUACCAAGUUGUGCCUCUCCUCCUCUUGCACUAGCCAGUGCAUGGAAGGUAGGUGAGCAGAAAUACAACAGCCUAUCAAUACACUCCAUGUUUUCACAUACACUGAUGUCAUGCAUAUCUCAAAAUACAGAAGUUCAGACAUGCAGCAAAAUGUGUUAAAGCACUUUAUAUGCUCUCCUGAUGAUAAUGAGUCAUGUAGUAUUUACUCAGACAAAUCAAAGCAGAGCAAAAUGUUUUGUGCUUCAAGUUUCAGAAUAACACUAUUCCUAUCAAAGUAUCUGAAGUGCAACAAAAGGAAUGUUCCACUGAAAUUGGAAGCAAAAGACACCAUUUAAAGAACUAGGAAAAUAAGCAUUGGUCAGAGCACUGCCUUUCCAAAGGUUCAUAAUAAAUAACAAAACAGCAGGAUCAUGCAGACCUUAAGUCAAGACUUGUUUCUAGAUUCUUACGCUAAAAAAAAAAAAAAAAAAAAAAA